rnacentral:rRNA from 1 species
GUACACUCCUGCGGGAGGCAGCAGUGGGGAAUUUUGGACAAUGGGCGAAAGCCUGAUCCAGCAAUGCCGCGUGAGUGAAGAAGGCCUUCGGGUUGUAAAGCUCUUUUGUCAGGGAAGAAACGGUGAGAGCUAAUAUCUCUUGCUAAUGACGGUACCUGAAGAAUAAGCACCGGCUAACUACGUGCCAGCAGCCGCGGUAAUACGUAGGGUGCAAGCGUUAAUCGGAAUUACUGGGCGUAAAGCGUGCGCAGGCGGUUUUGUAAGUCUGAUGUGAAAUCCCCGGGCUCAACCUGGGAAUUGCAUUGGAGACUGCAAGGCUAGAAUCUGGCAGAGGGGGGUAGAAUUCCACGUGUAGCAGUGAAAUGCGUAGAUAUGUGGAGGAACACCGAUGGCGAAGGCAGCCCCCUGGGUCAAGAUUGACGCUCAUGCACGAAAGCGUGGGGAGCAAACAGGAUUAGAAACCCCGGUAGUCCCA